UACGAAGGGGGCGAGCGUUGUUCGGAAUUACUGGGCGUAAAGGGCGCGCAGGCGGCUCUGAAAGUCAGAUGUGAAAGCCCCGGGCUUAACCUGAGAAUUGCAUUUGAUACUCUGGAGCUUGAGUGUGGGAGAGGAGAGUGGAAUUCCCAGUGUAGAGGUGAAAUUCGUAGAUAUUGGGAAGAACACCGGUGGCGAAGGCGGCUCUCUGGACCACAACUGACGCUGAGGCGCGAAAGCGUGGGGAGCAAACAGG
rnacentral:rRNA from 1 species